rnacentral:lncRNA from 1 species
AAACAUUUGCUGACUGCUGUUCUAUCUAGGAUAUCAUCAGUGUGUAGAUGAUCAGAGUUCAUGUCAGUGUUCCUACAAGCCAAUGAAGGAAAACAGAGAUCUGUGUUCUGAAUGGAAAAAUUCCUACUGAUGCCAGUAAGUGAGCCAUCCAUCUAUGAUGUGUCUAUGGGGAAGAAAGUGACAUGAAUGAGUAAAAUAGAAUAUAUGCUUUAAAUCAUGAAAAUUGAGUCCAGAUGGAAAGGUUAGGAGGAAAUGGAGUGGAAAGGUGGAUGAAGAAGAGUGAGAACUCAUGCAGUCGUUGCGACUUGGUUGACACUUCCUUCCCUGUGACUACAAUUCCAAGUUCAGUACUCCUGAGCUUUUAUAGAUGGAUGAGAAUAUAGGGGGAAGAAACAAGAGGAAGGAGUUUUCUGAAAUCUCGGUGGAGAGGAGGGAGAAAAAAGAUGGGAAAAUGUUACAAGCAUUCUGUUCAUGUUGUAUCACUUAGUGCAGUCUUGUCUUCCCAGCCCACUAGUCUGGAACAAGUCAGUCUCAAACAUAACAACAGACACUGGGGAGCUCUCCAACAAAAGAUCACCUCCCAAAGAACAGGAUGGUGUCGAAGACUGAAUGCCAGCCUGAGGAAACAGAAAUACUACAGAAGCACGCCAGAGCCUGCAGUGUCUCCUCGCUGCCUCUCAAUGAACUGCUAAAAGACCAAGAACUCUGCUGAGAGAUAAGAAGAGGGGAGGGUGUGCUGCAGGUGGUGCUGGGAGGCCCAGACCUUCUCCUGACAUCUGGGGCUGGCUACAGGAAACAGAAACAUCACCCAGGCCUUGGCGCGAGACAGGACAGAGGCAGAUUGUGACUCAGAUCUGCAGGUGGAAAGUGGGCCUUUCGUUUUCUCCUAGGGGUAGAGCAAAGCCAGAGGGCUCAGUCAGAGGAAACCUAAGGCAGUUCAUGAUCCCUUCAACUUUAUACCAUUUCCUCAAAACUGCCUCCAAACAGUGGGCAACUGGAAAGGUGGUCUGACCUCCAGUGAUCACACAGUAUGCAUUAUAACAGAAGGCUGUCACUGUCAAUUGCAUGGCUCCCUCACUAUGCAUUCCUUCUAUCAAUUUACGACAACACACUGUAGUGAGUACCUGCACAUUGCUGGGUAUUUUGGCAGACAUUGAUAGUAGAUGAAUAACACCUGGUACUUGACCUUGAGACGCUCACUGCCUAGUGUGGGGAACCAAUGGUUGCAAUAUAAAGUAUUAACUAGAGGGAUAGAGGACUGCCUGAGGAUCUCUGCACUCAGAGGAAGGGCCAUGAGAUCAGCCAGGACAGUAGGGAGGCAGUGACUCAUGAAAUUAGCAAGUGGUGAGAAGAGGGCAG